UACGAAGGGGGCUAGCGUUGUUCGGAUUUACUGGGCGUAAAGCGCACGUAGGCGGAUUGUUAAGUCGGGGGUGAAAUCCUGGAGCUCAACUCCAGAAUUGCCUUCGAUACUGGCUUUCUAGAGGCUGGAAGAGGUUAGUGGAAUUCCCAGUGUAGAGGUGAAAAUUCGUAGAUAUUGGGAAGAACACCAGUGGCGAAGGCGGCUAACUGGUCCAGAUCUGACGCUGAGGUGCGAAAGCGUGGGGAGCAAACAGGG
rnacentral:rRNA from 1 species